UGCAUAUCAAUAAGCGGAGGAAAAGAAACCAACAGGGAUUGCCUCAGUAACGGCGAGUGAAGCGGCAAAAGCUCAGAUUUGAAAUCUGGCGUCAUGUUUGGCGUCCGAGUUGUAAUCUGUAGAGGAGUAUUCGAGUGUGGCGCUGGCUUAAGUUCCUUGGAACAGGACGUCAUAGAGGGUGAGAACCCCGUUAACGGCCUUUGUCUUAUGCUCAUGUGAAUCUCCUUCAACGAGUCGAGUUGUUUGGGAAUGCAGCUCUAAAUGGGUGGUAAAUUCCAUCUAAAGCUAAAUACUGGCAAGAGACCGAUAGCGCACAAGUAGAGUGAUCGAAAGAUGAAAAGAACUCUGAACAGAGAGUUAAAUAGUACGUGAAAUUGUUGAAAGGGAAGCACUUGCUACCAGACACGCCUGUAGUUGAUCAACCUCCAUUCUUGGUGGUGCACUCAGCUAUUAGGUGGGUCAGCAUCAGUUAUGGCGGCGGGANAAAGACUUGGGGAAUGUGGCUUCUUUCGGGAAGUGUUAUAGCCCCAGGUGUAAUACCGCCUGUCGUGACUGAGGCCCGCGCCUUUNGGCGAGGAUGCUGGCAUAAUGGUCGUAAGUGACCCGUCUUGAAACACGGACCAAGGAGUCUAACAUCUAUGCGAGUGUUUGGGUGUGAAAACCCUUACGCGGAAUGAAAGUGAACGUAGGUGGGAACCGCAAGGUGCACCAUCGACCGAUCCUGAUGUCUUCGGAUGGAUUUGAGUAGGAGCAUAGCUGUUGGGACCCGAAAGAUGGUGAACUAUGCCUGAAUAGGGUGAAGCCAGAGGAAACUCUGGUGGAGGCUCGCAGCGGUUCUGACGUGCAAAUCGAUCGUCAAAUUUGGGUAUA
rnacentral:rRNA from 1 species